AUUGAACGCUGGCGGCAGGCUUAACACAUGCAAGUCGCGCGAGCGGCGGACGGGUGAGUAAUGUCUGGGAAACUGCCUGAUGGAGGGGGAUAACUACUGGAAACGGUAGCUAAUACCGCAUACCAUCAGAUGAGCCCAGAUGGGAUUAGCUUGUAGGUGGGGGACUGGCUCACCUAGGAGACGAUCCCUAGCUGGUCUGCGAGGAUGACCAGCCACCAGGGAACUGAGACACGGCCGAGACUCCUACGGGAGGCAGCAGUGGGGAAUCUUGGGCAAUGGGCGAAAGUCUGACGGAGCAACGCCGCGUGUAUGAAGAAGUUUUUCGGGUCGUAAAGCACUUUUAGUGGUGAAGCGGUACCGAACGAAGAAGCAACGGCUAACUACGUGCCAGCAGCCGCGGUAAUAC
rnacentral:rRNA from 1 species